rnacentral:rRNA from 1 species
GAUGAACGCUAGCUACAGGCUUAACACAUGCAAGUCGGGGGAAACGAUAUUGGAAGCUUGCUUCCGAUAGGCGUCGACCGGCGCACGGGUGAGUAACGCGUAUCCAACCUGCCCACCACUUGGGAAUAACCUUGCGAAAGUAAGACUAAUGCCCAAUGAUAUCUCUAGAAGACAUCUGAAGGAGAUUAAAGAUUUAUCGGUGAUGGAUGGGGAUGCGUCUGAUUAGCUUGUUGGCGGGGUAACGGCCCACCAAGGCGACGAUCAGUAGGGGUUCUGAGAGGAAGGUCCCCCACAUUGGAACUGAGACACGGUCCAAACUCCUACGGGAGGCAGCAGUGAGGAAUAUUGGUCAAUGGGCGAGAGCCUGAACCAGCCAAGUAGCGUGCAGGAUGACGGCCCUAUGGGUUGUAAACUGCUUUUAUAAGGGAAUAAAGUUAGUCUCGUGAGACUUUUUGCAUGUACCUUAUGAAUAAGGACCGGCUAAUUCCGUGCCAGCAGCCGCAGUAA